rnacentral:rRNA from 1 species
AGAACGAACGCUGGCGGCAUGCCUAACACAUGCAAGUCGGACGCUUUCGGGGGCUUCGGCCUCCGAGGGAGUGGCGGACGGGUGAGUAGCGCGUGGGAACCUGCCCCUUUGUGGGGGAUAACCGAGGGAAACUUCGGCUAAUACCGCAUGCGCCCGGAGGUAACUCCGGGGAAAGAUUUAUCGCAGAGGGAGGGGCCCGCGUCGGAUUAGGUAGUUGGUGGGGUAACGGCCUACCAAGCCUUUGAUCCGUAGCUGGUCUGAGAGGAUGAUCAGCCACACUGGGACUGAGACACGGCCCAGACUCCUACGGGAGGCAGCAGUGGGGAAUAUUGGACAAUGGGCGCAAGCCUGAUCCAGCAAUGCCGCGUGAGUGAUGAAGGCCUUAGGGUUGUAAAGCUCUUUCGGCGGGGACGAUGAUGACGGUACCCGCAGAAGAAGCCCGGCUAACUUCGUGCCAGCAGCCGC